rnacentral:rRNA from 1 species
ACGAACGCUGGCGGCGUGCUUAACACAUGCAAGUCGAACGGAAAGGCCCAGCUUGCUGGGUACUCGAGUGGCGAACGGGUGAGUAACACGUGGGUGAUCUGCCCUGGACUCUGGGAUAAGCCUGGGAAACUGGGUCUAAUACCGGAUAUUCACUUUCUCUCGCAUGGGGGUUGGUGGAAAGCUUUUGCGGUUCAGGAUGGGCCCGCGGCCUAUCAGCUUGUUGGUGGGGUAAUGGCCUACCAAGGCGACGACGGGUAGCCGACCUGAGAGGGUGAUCGGCCACACUGGGACUGAGACACGGCCCAGACUCCUACGGGAGGCAGCAGUGGGGAAUAUUGCACAAUGGGCGCAAGCCUGAUGCAGCGACGCCGCGUGAGGGAUGACGGCCUUCGGGUU